UGAGGAGUAUAGUAAUUGUGGAGGUGGUGUAGAUAUGUUGGCAGGUGUUACAUUUCUUUUCAUGGCAUAGUCUGGAUCCAUUUGGUGUAUUUUGGGCUGUAGGAAGUUUGAAUUU